rnacentral:rRNA from 1 species
GUGAAAAGGGCUAUCAAUUCUAAAGGUAUCUGGAAUAAUUUUAAAUGUAUUUAGUACAGGAUAAAUUUUAAAUAAAGAAAUGUUAAGAUUUCAUUAAUUAUAGAAUAUUAAAUAUAGUUUAAAUAUGAAUUAAUCUUCCAAUAUAUAACCUUGAUAAUAAUAACUUAUUUAAUGUAUCUUUAUAUUAAAAUUAUCUUUUCUAUAAUUAAUUAGAAAAUUAAUAAUGUUAAAAUUAGUAAUUCUUAAUAUUUUAAAUUAAGGAACUCGGCAAAUUAUUAUUCAACUGUUUAUCAAAAACAUAGUCUUAUGUAUUAUAUAUAAGGUGAAACCUGCCCAUUGAUUUUUAUGAAUUUAACGGCCGCAGUACCUUGACUGUGCUAAGGUAGCAUAAUAAAUUGACUCUUAAUUGGGGCCUUGAAUGAAUGGAUUUAUGGAUAAUUUCUGUCUUAAUCGAAUUAAAAUUAAAUUACUUAAAAGGUGAAAAUUCCUUUAAAUUAUACAAUAGACGAGAAGACCCUAGGAGUUUUAUUUUUGUUGGGGCGACAGUAUAACAUUAUAACUUAUAUAUUUAUAAUUAUUAUUAUUAAACGAAUUAUUUUAAUAGUAAAGAAACUACCCUAGGGAUAACAGCAUAAUUUUUUAAAA